UACGGGGGGGGGAAGCGUUGUUCGGAAUUACUGGGCGUAAAGGGCUCGUAGGCGGCCAACUAAGUCAUACGUGAAAUCCCUCAGCUUAACUGGGGAACUGCGUCUGAUACUGGAUGGCUUGGAUUCGGGAGAGGAAUGCGGAAUUCCAGGUGUAGCGGUGAAAUGCGUAGAUAUCUGGAGGAACACCGGUGGCGAAGGCGGCAUCCUGGACCGACAUUGACGCUGAGUGAGCGAAAGCUAGGGGAGCAAACGGG
rnacentral:rRNA from 1 species